rnacentral:rRNA from 1 species
UACAGAGGGUGCAAGCGUUGUCCGGAAUCACUGGGCGUAAAGGGCGCGUAGGCGGCCUGAUAAGUCGGGGGUGAAAUUCUGCGGCUUAACCGCAGGACGGCCUUCGAGACUGUCGGGCUUGAGCACGGUAGAGGCAGGUGGAAUUCCCGGUGUAGUGGUGGAAUGCGUAGAGCUCCGGAGGAACACCAGUGGCGAAGGCGGCCGCCUGGGCCAGUCCUGACGCUGAGCCGCGAAAGCGUGGGGAGCGAUCCGG